UACGUAGGGUGCAAGCGUUAAUCGGAAUACUGGGCGUAAAGCGUGCGCAGGCGGUUUUGUAAGUCUGUCGUGAAAUCCCCGGGCUCAACCUGGGAAUUGCGAUGGAGACUGCAAGGCUAGAAUCUGGCAGAGGGGGUAGAAUUCCACGUGUAGCAGUGAAAUGCGUAGAGAUGUGGAGGAACACCGAUGGCGAAGGCAGCCCCUGGGUCAAGAUUGACGCUCAUGCACAAGAA
rnacentral:rRNA from 1 species